AUUCCAGCUCCAAUAGCGUAUAUUAAAGUUGUUGCAGUUAAAAAGCUCGUAGUUGGAGUUCAGAGUGAGCUCAGCCGGUCCGCCUCAUGGGUGAGUACUGGUCGACUCUCUCUUGUUUGUGAAUCCCGCCCGGAGUUAAUUCUUCGGGAUGUGGAGUUCACAUCGUUUACCUUGAAAAAAUUAGAGUGUUCAAAGCAGGCGUUUGCUUGAAUAUAUUAGCAUGGAAUAAUGGAAUAGGACCCUGGUUCUAUUUUGUUGGUUUUGAGAACCAGAGUAAUGAUUAAUAGGGAUAGUUGGGGGCAUUCAUAUUUCAUUGUCAGAGGUGAAAUUCUUGGAUUUAUGAAAGAUGAACUUCUGCGAAAGCAUUUGCCAAGGAUGUUUUCAUUA
rnacentral:rRNA from 1 species